rnacentral:lncRNA from 1 species
UAAAAGGGGCUCUUAGACCCCCACUCUCUUACUCUUACUCCUUUGUUCCUUUACCUCUCACUUCUCUCUCCUCUUCCCUUUCUCUUUGUCUUCUCCUCUCCUCUCUACUUCUCUCUCUCUCUAGCCUUUCCUCUCCCCCAGUUCUCUAUUCCCCCCUGCAUUUCUCUAAUAAAGCUCUUAAACCAUAGACAGCCUCUGCUCCAUCAAGACCAGCUGCACACUCUUCAGGUUUGCUAUUUCAGCUUUGCUAGCCUCAGAGCUGUUCAACUUUCACAAGGAACAAUAUUUUCUGUAUGGAAUACAUGAACAUACCUUUCUUUAAUUCUUGUUAUUUCCAAACAACUGAAGUGUACCGCCUGGAAUAAAUGCAAAUGAAGUUGCAAAUAUUUGAAUUUCAUGGUCAUCGCCGAGGUGAAGAGAGUAUACAAAAUUCUAAAUAUAAAGCGGAUGCUCAAUGUGAUCCAUAGCUUCAGCCUCCAACCACCAUCCCUUCCCCACUGGGAUGGAUUGUCCCUCCUUAUGAAUGAAUUCUUUCUAAGCAGCGUUUUUGUGGCAGUGAUGUAAAACAGAUAAGAUUCCAUCGUGGCCAGAGAAGCAUGCCAGCAAUUGGAAGACAUGGUGGCAGGAGCAGGAACCUGAAAGAUCUAAGCCACAGAUGUUGAGUUUCCAGUUCUGCUGUGUGUGUACCAUCCCACUCCUCAUCAUGAAUGGCUUUACCAUCACAUUUCACAUUUAUCCUGUCAAGGAACUGCUGGACCACAUGAAGAGGCUGGAUUUGUGGAACGAAAGCAACAGGACCCCCGCGGCUGAGGCAAUAGCAGGAUAUCAGUGAGGAGCCCUGGUGAGGGUCUAGUGUUGAUGGUGUAGCAGAAACCAGAGACCUUGAAUCACAUCAACGAAAAUGCAGUGAACAUUUGCAAAUAAAGCUGU